ensembl:rRNA 5S_rRNA 5S ribosomal RNA
GUCUAUGGCCACACCUCCCUGAACACGCACAAUCUUAUCUGAUCUUGGCAGCCAAGCAGGGUCGGGCCUAGUUAGUAACUGGAUGUGAGAAGAUACCUUCUAUCUGAAAUGCCUCUGUCA